rnacentral:rRNA from 1 species
UACGUAGGGACCAAGCGUUGUUCGGAUUUACUGGGCGUAAAGGGCGCGUAGGCGGCGUGACAAGUCACUUGUGAAAUCUCCGGGCUUAACCCGGAACUGCCAAGUGAUACUGUCGUGCUAGAGUGCGGAAGGGGCAAUCGGAAUUCUCGGUGUAGCGGUGAAAUGCGUAGAUAUCGAGAGGAACACCGGUGGCGAAGGCGGGUCUCUGGGCCGACACUGACGCUGAGGAGCGAAAGCCAGGGGAGCAAACGGG